UCCGUAGGUUGAUAAUUAAGUCAGAGGUGAAAUCCUGCCGCUCAACGGUAGAAUUGCCUUUGAUACUGGUUAUCUUGAGUUAUUAUGAAGUAGUUAGAAUAUGUAGUGUAGCGGUGAAAUGCAUAGAUAUUACAUAGAAUACCAAUUGCGAAGGCAGAUUACUAAUAAUAAACUGACACUGAUGGACGAAAGCGGUGGGGAGCGAAACA
rnacentral:rRNA from 1 species